rnacentral:rRNA from 1 species
CCCAGACUUGACAUGUAAUGGACCGCACUAGAGAUAGUGCUUCCCGCAAGGGCUGUUACACAGGUGCUGCAUGGCUGUCGUCAGCUCGUGCCGUGAGGUGUUGGGUUAAGUCCCGCAACGAGCGCAACCCUUGUCAUUAGUUGCCAACACGUAAUGGUGGGAACUCUAAUGAGACUGCCUAGGUUAACUAGGAGGAAGGUGAGGAUGACGUCAAGUCCGCAUGGCCCUUAUGUCUGGGGCUACACACGUGCUACAAUGGUCGGUACAGAAGGCAGCAAAGGCGAAAGGUGGAGCAAAUCCAUAAAAGCCGACCCCAGUUCAGAUUGCAGUCUGCAACUCGACUGCAUGAAGCCGGAAUUGCUAGUAAUGGCGCGUCAGCAACAGCGCCGUGAAUACGUUCUCGGGUCUUGUACACACGCA